UGGGGAAUUUUGGACAAUGGGCGCAGGCCUGAUCCAGCCAUGCCGCGUGUGUGAAGAAGGCCUUCGGGUUGUAAAGCACUUUCAGACGGAACGAAAUCGCGCGGUUGAACAUUCCGCGUGGAUGACGGUACCGUAAGAAGAAGCACCGGCUAACUACGUGCCAGCAGCCGCGGUAAUACGUAGGGUGCGAGCGUUAAUCGGAAUUACUGGGCGUAAAGGGUGCGCAGGCGGCCCCGCAUGUCAGGCGUGAAAUCCCCGAGCUCAACUUGGGAAUGGCGCUUGAAACUACGGGGCUGGAGUGUGGCAGAGGGAGGUGGAAUUCCACGUGUAGCGGUGAAAUGCGUAGAUAUCUGGAGGAACACCGGUGGCGAAGGCGGCAUCCUGGACCGGUAUUGACGCUGAGUGAGCGAAAGCCAGGGGAGCAAACGGGAUUAGAUACCCCAGUAGUCCCUGAGCGGGCUGGCAAGGCGCAU
rnacentral:rRNA from 1 species